GCGUGUAAUCAUAAAUACUACAUACUUGCGCGACGCCUUUUACUUUUACUGAAAACUGCGCAGACUAUGAAAUGUUUUUAAAGGUGGAAAAUGUUCUUUGAUAGAUAUCAUUUUGUCAGACACUUUUCUUUUUUUGAUUUAAUUCUUAUAAUAUGCCAAAAAUCUGUAUAUUUGAUCGAGUUUAACAUUAAAUUGUGCGUUUUACUCUUAACAGACGUAUAGCCAACCCGAUUAACAGACCCACUGCCGAUAUAGCCGCAUACUCAAUAUAGAUUAACCGACCAAUCUCUCGGUUAGCCGAGUGUCGGCCGUGUUAAUAUAUUAUUGAAAUUUGUUAAACAUCGUUAAGAUACUGCUGCAUUAAUUUACAGGCGCCAUUAUAAUUUGGUUGACUGUUGUGAAGUAUCUUUCAGUGAUUACUACGAAUAUGUUCCAUUUGUCACAUUCACAAUCCAAUCCUCUCUUCUGCGAUUAUGACAACAACGGAGUCGACUAUCAUAGAUUUUUCAACACAUGACUUAACUUUCAGAGCAAAUGAGUUCAUCUCACAUGUUUUAUGGGGUUUGUGAUUGUCAAUUUUGAGUUUACAGUGUAGUAUAUUGUCUUUUUUUUCUUAUGGUUAAGGAUUGUUUCUUUUUCCAUGACGGGUUUUGUGUUUGCCCCUUUGUGUCUGCUCUUAAUUUUUGAACAUAUAUUAAUCAUGUCUGCAUUGAAGAACGACUUUCGCUGAGAAAGUUAAAAUAAAAACUUAUGAUUAUAAGCGAGAUAUAAAGGAAAUAACUUCACUUUUCAUUGUUCAUCAUUCUGUAGCAACAUUUGUUCAGUGUCUGUAUACUGAUCAUGUCUUUGCCGUUAUUUUAUCAUCCGGAGAUCAUUGUAAGGCUGGGAUCUUUGAUUUUUUUAUUUCCUUGCAACUAGUAUUUAAAGAUCGAACGAAAAAAAAUCAAGUCCGAAAGUGGAAAUUGAAAUCAAGUUGUGUUAAAACCGAGUUUAAUAAGUAUAAUUUCCGAAUCAAUGAAACAUGUUGCUUUGAAUUGUUUGAAGGUUUACAUGUUUUCAUUGGAUUUCGGCUGCGAAAAGACGGGCAGAUAAAAUCAAUUUUCUAUACGUAAGAUCUACACGGCUAAAAAGUAACAUAUUUAGAGAAAAACAAAUUCACUGGUUUUAUCUUUUAAAGAACUGACAGUCUAAUGAAAUAUAAAUACAAAUAAAUGCAAUAAAUAAACUGGGGGAACUCAAAGUUAAAAUCUUUUAUUAAAUAACUAUCAUUAUUGUUGUUAGAAGAUGAUUAAGUCCGCAUCUACUAGUUAUUUAUUUCUUCUUAUUUAAUACUAGCAAUAAAUACUUAUAUCCGAAAGUAAAUUUUUGUGUAUGAAGAAAAAAAAACACUUGAUAGAAACAGACUAAGCUGUUCUCUCAUCUUGAAUGUAGUAUUGAGAGUGCUGUUAACCGUUGAUAUAGAAAAUGAUUUGCAAAAAUGUCUUCAUAUCUUAACAUUUCCGUUGAUAUCUACAAAUGUCUUGAAAGGAGAUGGGUCAUGCAACACAAAAAUGUUAUGAAACUACAGUAUAAAUAUGUUGGGAAAACAUUCGUUUGCAUUGAAAUUUAUUCUAGUUAAUACUUAGCCCUUUGAAGAAUAAAAGUUUCAAUGAACAUACAAUUGUAGUGACAGUGUCAGCUUUAUUUACUAUUGAUCUAAAGGACACAAAAAAUAAUCAAACACUUUUUUUAAUAAAUGCAUCGCUUUGGGGAUUCCGUAUAUCGUCAGAUUAUCGGAAUUCCAAUGGGGACUAACUGUGCACCACUUAUUGCUGACCUGUUUUUGUAUUGCUAUGAGUUACAAUUUAUGACAAAAAUAAACAAAGACCCUUCGAAACAACAUCUGAUAAACAAAUUUAAUAAUACUUUUAGAUAUUUGGAUGAUAUUUUGGCUCUCAAUAAUGACGACUUCAGUAUGUAUAUUAAAGAAAUUUAUCCUGUUGAACUUACUUUAAAUAAAGCUAAUACUAACAAUGACCACUGCCCUUUCCUCAAUCUUGAUAUCUAUAUCACUAACGGAAAGCUGAAUACUAAAAUUUAUGAUAAAAGAGAUGAUUUUUCAUUUCCUAUCGCUAAUUAUCCAUUUUUAGAUGGUGACGUUCCC
rnacentral:lncRNA from 1 species